rnacentral:rRNA from 1 species
GACGAACGCUGGCGGCGUGCUUAACACAUGCAAGUCGAACGGAAAGGCCCUGCUUUUGUGGGUUGCUCGAUUGGCGAACGGGUGAGUAACACGUGAGUAACCUGCCCUUGACUUUGGGAUAACUUCAGGAAACUGGGGCUAAUACCGGAUAGGAUCUCCUGCUGCAUGGUGGUGGUUGGAAAGUUUCGGCGGUUGGGGAUGGACUCGCGGCUUAUCAGCUUGUUUGUGGGGUAGUUGCUUACCAAGGCUUUGACGGGUAGCCGGCCUGAGAGGGUGACCGGGGAAAUUGGGACGAAGAUACGGACCAGAAUGCUACGGGAGGCAGCAGUGGGGAAUAGUGCACAAGGGGAGGAAGCGUGAAGCAGCAAAGCCGCGUGCGGGAUGACGGCCUUCGGGUUGUAAACCGAUUUCGACUGUGACGAAGCGAGAGUGACGGUAAUGGGUAAAGAAGCAACGGCUAAGUACGUG